UAUUGCACAAUGGGGGAAACCCUGAUGCAGCAACGCCGCGUGAGUGAAGAAGUAUUUCGGUAUGUAAAGCUCUAUCCGCAGGGAAGAAGAUGACGGUACCUGACCAAGAAGCCCCGGCUAACUACGUGCCAGCAGCCGCGGUAAUACGUAGGGGGCAAGCGUUAUCCGGAUUUACUGGGUGUAAAGGGAGCGCAGACGGCAGUGCAAGUCUGGAGGGAAAGCCCGGGGCCCAACCCCGGAACUGCUCUGGAAACUGUGCGGCUAGAGUACUGGAGGGGCAGGCGGAAUUCCUAGUGUAGCGGUGAAAUGCGUAGAUAUGAGGGGGAACACCAGUGGCGAAGGCGGCCUGCUGGACAGUAACUAACGUUGAGGCUCGAAAGCGUGGGGAGCAAACAGG
rnacentral:rRNA from 1 species